CGCAGAAAACAAAAUGGCCGGGCGUUCCAUGUGUGAACUGAGUUUCUACUUUCGUUGAUUCGCGUUAAAUUUGCGAUAAUAACAGCUCAAAACUAAACUCAGAAAAUCUUUAGUCUGUUAACAAAGUUCGCAAGCAUCCAGAUUUCAAGUUUACGUCAAUUUUGAUGAGGAAAUACAGACAUCAUAUUUUGAGUUUGUAAUUGUAAGUACA